rnacentral:rRNA from 1 species
GUCUACUGCCAUACCACCCUGAACGUGCUGGAUCUCGCCUGCUCUUGGAAGCUAAGCAGCGUCAGGCCUGGUUAGUACUUGGGUGGGAGAAUCAGAAAAAAAGGAAGAAAGACU